rnacentral:rRNA from 1 species
AUGUUCGAGUCGAACGACUCAAAAAAUUGGGGGAGUAUAAAUACGAUGCCUCAUCCCGCGGGAGACCUAAUCCUUUCUUUCCCCUCCUCACCUGGACGCGCCGCCGGCUGCUGGACGCGCCCGUCGAGCCCUCCUCGCGCCGCCGGCCGCUGGACGCCCGCCGCCGCGGAUCUAAAGCUCCACCGUCGCCGGCCCCACGUCGCGGAUCUGAAGCUCCACCAUCGCCUUCGUCUCGCGCCCCUCCUGCUCCUUCGUCUCGCGCCCCUCCUCGCGCCGCCGGCCCCUCGUGCUCUUCUCCUCUUCAGGCAGGUCCGAGCCAAGUUGCUGCACCAGUUGAAUGUUCAAUGUAGGAGUACACCGCAAGUUCUAGCCCAGCGCAGCGACUUCUGGAGUCCUCCAGCCAGCGCACGUGCCGUGCACCAAAAAAUGGCCGAGGAGGGUAGGCACAUCGCCGCCGGUGACCCCAUCCGGCCGCCGCGGCUGGAGGAUGCGGGCCUGGAGGACUGCGCGCUCCCGCCGGAAUCCAUCGCCGAGGCUUUCUCCCUUGCGGCGUUGGCCGUCUCCUCCCGCCUCCCCCACCUCUCCCUCUCUGAGGACGAGGACGAGGGAGAUGACCCGCUUGCUCCUCGUGGAGGCUGCGUGGAGGACGCGGGAUCCACCCGUGGGGCCAUUCCCGACGCCCUUGUUGGCGCAGGGGGCGGCAGCGAGGGCGGCGCCGACGAGGUCGUGGUCGUCGGCGGCGGUGGCGGAGGAGGCAGCGACGAGGUGGUAGUCGUCGGGCGCGGAGACGAGGAAGAUAGGGUUGUUGUGGUCGGAGAAGAGCUGGGGCAGGAGAAGCGUUGCGGCAAGGGAACCAGAGAAGGAGAGCGCCGGAAGGAGGAGGAGGAGGAGAUGGUGGAGAAGGCCAUCUUGCUGGAAGAUUUCGCGUGA